AUAAGGGCCUCUCAGUAGAGAGGUGAGAAUAGCAACUGCCUCUCAGUGUCCUUGUGUCAUCAUUGUGCUCUCACGUGAAGAGCUCCAUUCUACAGGUCUGAAUUAGACCUCCAGCAGCCACUGGCAGGUGGCUCCCUUGGCACAGCAAAGGCCCAUCAGCUGCCCUCAGUCUGCUUCAGUCUGUCUGCCAAGACUGUUUUACCAGGAUGUGACCGCUCUGAAAACUUCAGCUUCCUGGAACUACGGUGGCAUUUGGCACAGGUUGCUCCCAGAGAGGUCCUGAAGAGACAAGACAGUACGUGAAUUCCUCUCAAACACCCCAUGGCCCCCGGUCUCCCCAACAGCCUCGGAGGAAAUCUCUCUGCAAGAAGCUUGCAUCCAGGCAUUUCCACAAAUGCACAGAUUCCCUUUAUCUGGCCCUUCAGUACCCCCGUGAUGGUAUGAGUUGGCAGAAGUCAAAGCUUUAAGGGUGGAUUCUAAGAUGGAGCUGAAUACGAAUGACCCCUGGACAAGAGCUCCCCACGUGGAGCUGAUGUGGAAACUUGCAGAAGAAAUUCAAGAUGAAGAUGUGGAUUCCAAUCCUGCCUUCACUCCAAGAUCACUGUAUGACCUGUUGCUUCCCCUUUCUAAAUCCCCAAACCAUAAAUGGAGGGAACUUUGGGGAAACUGAGUCAGGACACACCGUCCACCCCCACCCGGACAAGCGGAAGGGGGCUCGGCAUUCAGCAUCGGCCCUAAGUCCCCAAAUGGAACUCAUUAGCUUCCAAGGUGCCUCAUGUUCCCCCUUCGGACAGCUUGCGUGAUGAGAAGGGACAGUCCCCAUCCCUGCCACUUCUGGUCUAAAUCUGAUGCAUGAUGUCUUCUAGUUCUGUUCUCUGGAGCCUAACAAGGCAAAGCCUCAGUUUCCCUAUCUACAUAAUCAGAAUAAUAACCCUACUCACCUCUCUCACAAUUAUUUCUGGGGAUCUAAUGAGAAAAUGGUUGGGAGGAAAAACACUUUGCAAAGAGACAUAAAAGGAAACAAUAGCUUCUCUUCUACCCUGCGAGACCAUGACCCCACAGUCAUAACCAAGAGAGCCCUUGUUCCAUGACCCCAGAUUCCUUGUAAUUCUGACAUUGCUCUGAAUGCUUUUCUUUCUGGCCCUUAGGCCUUUCUUAAGAUUAGCUAGGGAUCUGUGUAGCAUCAAGGUGUGAUCUUUCCAGGGGGAUUUUCUUUUCUUUUUU